ACUAAUCACAUUGAUCCUGCUAUUGAUCCUUUGUAUAACUCGAAAUACGCCAUCGAUAUGCUCCAGCUUUGCCAAACCUGGAACAUCAAACAAAUGUGCAAAGAUGGUGCUUCCACUGGAACUCUUGCUGAUUACUGACGUGCAAAGUGGAGCAACUCGAUUUCAUCGGAUUAGGAGAUUCGAAGAUUUCUGGGAAAUCAAAUCCAACAGGCCAUGGUAGACGGAUUCAAAAUUAUGUUUAAAUGACGCUAAACCGGAUACGAUAAGCGCACUA